CCGAGACCACGAUAAAAUCUACGAUGAGUCUGUAUGGCGGCGAACGCCAGACGAAGGGAACUGGUUGCCCCCGGUUCGUUUCACAGGCAUACGAAAUUCAGCCGGCCGUCGGAUUAUUCGUUAUUCAUGCAAAUGUAUGCGAGAGCGUGAAAAGUGAAUUUUACGAGUUUCGAUCGCGGCCACCAACGCGUUCGAAUGCAUUCCGUGGGUCAACUGACCGAGACGGCCGAAACCAUUUAGCGCUCGCGUGAAACGUGGUCGCCUUCGAAAAUUCUGACCGAACGCUUCCACGCAACCGGAAGUCGCCAUUCGCCCGGCGUUCUUUGAAAU